UUGAUUUUUUUGCUUUUAGACAUUAUUGGUGUUUUUGAGAGUUAUAUUCUUAUUUAUGUAUAGAGUACUCUCAAUCUCUCUGUCGUUGCACCCUCACCUCACCCUCACUCUCGGUCUGCUCUCCGAUCUCUCCCCGAUCUCUCAGACGCCGAAGCCCAGAAAUUGAAGGAGUAUCUCUUGGAAAUUCGGUCACUGGUAUAAUAUAAUUUUGUGGCAUCAAGAUGUCAGUAGAUGUGGCUAGAGCUCACGGUGGAGACGCUGGUGGUGAUCCUCCACCGGAUCCUACUAGGAUCCCGACUACAUGUGA